GGGAUGCCAAAUAUUGCGUAAAGGAUGCAGAAAAUCUUGCCGCCCUCGGUCCUGGGGGCGAUGUUUCCAUAGCCUGUAGAUAUCCAGAGGGAGACAAUUGGUGGCUUCCAGCGAGAGAACAUGGCAGUAAUUACAGACUGCUGAACAAAAGAGAAGUUAAGACAAGGACAGACUAAGCAAUUUCAGUCAGAGAUCUGGGCUGAAAGCCUUGUGCAGUCACACUCUCGGAGGCUGCUUUAAUUGACCUAUGGUGGUGAUGACGGUUCCAGCGAAGAAGAACGCGCUGCUGAGGUCCCAGUGGCUGGAGUUAUUGGACGUGUCUCCAAUGGGACUCACCCCAG